rnacentral:rRNA from 1 species
UACAGAGGUCUCAAGCGUUGUUCGGAUUCAUUGGGCGUAAAGGGUGCGUAGGCGGCGCGGUAAGUCGGGUGUGAAAUCUCGGAGCUUAACUCCGAAACUGCAUUCGAUACUGUCGUGCUUGAGGACUGGAGAGGAGACUGGAAUUUACGGUGUAGCGGUGAAAUGCGCAGAUAUCAGGAAGAACACCCGUGGCGAAAGCGGCUCUCUGGAACGGUACUGACGCUGAGACGCGAAAGCGUGGGGAGCGAACAGG